CUUCUUCUAGUUUAAAUAGAACCCUUGUUUUGCAUACAAUAAGUAGGAUCCUCCUGGAGAAGU
rnacentral:tRNA from 1 species